AUUAUCUGUUGUGAUGGCCAUGAAACUAAGAACAACUGUAAUAAUCAUCAUGGCUUUGGUGUGGCUGCAAGCAGCAGUUGUUGACGGGGUACGUAGCAAACUCUUAUGUUUGAAACAUUUGAAGCAUUUCAAUAUUCGGUGAGUUCAGCUGCUUUGAAGUAUCAUACACAAUGUGAUGACUUCAAAUUACCUAGAACGAAGAGUUUCGAAUCAUAUUACUUACUAUACAUAAUAGAGACCUUUGAUCAGUUUGCGACUUUUUUUUACAAGCUGUGUGACUUGCAAACACACACACACACUCACACAAACACACACACACACACCAUCACUAGCAAAGAUUCAUCCUGUGCUUUAAUGUUUAGUUUAAAUUUCAUUUCAUUUUUUUUUAUUUAUUUUUCAAAAACGACUGGCUUCAUUUUUUUUUUAAACCUACCUUUGAUUUCUAAGUGAAAAGGAAAUUCUUUUUUGACAAUGGACGUUGGAAGAAAAACAUUUCAGUAAUUUUCUACCUUUGAUGUGUCUAUAACUGACUGCAAAAGAUGAGCAGCAAAACUAAGGCAUUGAAUAUAAGAACCUGCUCUGUUGUCUCCACAUUUAGAAGUUUUAUCCUGGCCUAGUCCACCACCAUCGCAUUUUCUUAUAGAUGUUGAGAUGUCGACUGUUUGCACGUAACCAUGCCAACAGGUGAUCCACCAAACUCAUCAUUGUUCUUAAUGAGAUUUGUUACCAUAGUAACGAUGGUAUGCUUCAUUUUAUAAAUGAAUUUGUGAUAGAGGACACUGUCAUGGGUACAGACAGCACAGGACAGAAGAGAGUACACAAACUGAAGGGUGUGCCUGUGGUGAUCACAAGGAUGUUUGAUAAGCUUUUAUUUACUGUGAGACUGUCUGAAGUAUUUGCUUCUGUUGUCUUUACCCACCAGCACGUGAACUAACAUCUCUUAGCAGUUAGACUGGUCUACAGAGGGGUGAACAUAUUUUCAUUUACUUAUAGCACUUAACCAAACACUACAUAAAAUGACAAUAUAUUGUGACUGUACUUGCUGAGUUAUGUUGUCAUUGUUGUAUGCUUGUUUUUGUUCUAGUGCAUUCAAAACGAUGCAAGGUGUUCCUCUUACGAUUUCCCGUGUUGCUCGAAUUCGGUAUGCGUAUAUGUUCUUCUUGAGGGUAAUAGAUACAAGGACAAGGGGGCAAUCUGCUCGAAAGGGCCUGGAGGUGUCCAGAAUUGUCUACAGCGUGCUUACUAAUGUAAAAGGAGAUUAUCAAUCAUGGUCUCGAAUUGACGAGGACUACAAAGUGUUUCAGGGAUACAAGCUGUAACGACAACGCUUAAAUGCCGAGUGGAUUGUCUACAAAAUUCUGAAACUAUAAAUAUUGUUCUACUUCUAAUUGAUCAGUAAACUGAAAUUUACUUUCUGUCUUUGCUUUGCUUAUUGUAUCAACCAGUGUCCAUGGUAAGUAAAAUAAGUGAGUCAUGUGUGUGGGUGUUUAAAAAGAAUUAAGUUGUGAAGCUUUCGGAUAGAUAAAAACAAUAAUUCUAAACAAAGAUUUACAAUUUUUCACAAGUCUAAUAUUUAAAACCUAGUAUAUAAGGAAAACAACCAGCCUGUGGCAUAUGCCUAUUGUUCCGGACUCAUUUUUUUUAUAACCUUUUAGUUUACUGUAAAAUUAUAACAGACUAUACUUUCUUUUAAGCGAAUUUCAUGUUAAGUGUAAAAGUCAGUUUUCAUUUAAUUACACUCAAUUCCUUUAUGAUGGCAUAGUAAUUAUUAAUAUCUAAUUUUAGCGACAGACAUCACCAGCUAAUAAUGUUUGUAGACGCUGCAGACUCUUAACAACAUUAAAGUUCAAUGUGUAAGUCACACAUAAUUACAGAGAAACAAUUAUUUCUGGUCUCUCAGAAGAAUUCUCCCGCUUUCUCUUUCUCUCACACACACACACACUGACGUACACAUGUAUGAACUAACCCAAGUGCACUAAACCAACCGUUGUAACUGUCGAACUUCAUGACCAGUAAGAUACCUACGCUUAAUGAUGAUGCGGUACAUUAACUUUAUUUCCUAGAGUAGAAUUGGGAAGAACUUAGUCUGGUUGCACCUUGGUCAUGACUGAAGUGAAAUGAUUUUUCUCUACUUGCAUGAUGCUUAACUAGUACUUUUGCAUAGCACACACACGUACACACAAACACAUCGUUUUCAUAUAUAAAUAUAUUUGUAUAAAUUGAAUAUCAGUCAGGUCAAUUUAAGGGGACACACUGGGAGUUGACAAGACACAAACGGGUACAAGACGGUACAGACAGGUAAACUUCUCGUCGGUUGCCAGCUUCCCGUGCUCCGAUGGCUGGGACGGACUGACCUUCUUGAAAUCAUCUUCUUAUGUAAAAGACUAUUAUCGAUCUGUACAUCAUCUACACAAUAAAAUAGAAUGUGGAGGUCACUAAAGACUAAAUGAGGGUUACAAAACAAGACGUUUAACAGAAAAUUGUAAGAGGAUAUAUGUUUCCAUAAUUAGUUUUAUUCUAUCGAGAAUUUUUCAAUUCAUUUAAGUAUAAAGUUUCAUGAUAUUAAUGACUGGUCUCGCUGUUUUAUCUUAAAUUGCAUCUAAGAUUUGUUCAAAAUAAUAAAAUUUCAGUGUAUGAAAGCAAAUUAAUAAAAUUAAAUUAAAUUUUUUUCUUGUUCUCUCUCAUGUAUAUAACUAGCACUAGAAUUGUCUGUGUUAAUAACGUCAAGUCAACACUUACGGAGACAUCAAGGUAGUGUGCAAUACUUUCGUCAAUCUAAUCAGUGAAUUGUUCAUCUUCAGUCGAUAUGUCAUCAAUUAUCUGUAAGCUUUUUUAUGUUGUUCUCUUUCAUUAAAUGAGAUAACGAAUCAAAGCUUUCGAUUUUGCACAGAUAUAUUUUUUAUUCUUCUAAAAAUAUACUUAAUUUGUAACCGGAUAAGAACAGUCGUUUUUUAAUAGCUUUAAUAUCAGCUCUAUUGAAUUAUUAGAUUAAACAGUCAGAUAAACGUUUUGCCUCUAAAUCACUCACAGUAUCUGUGACAAAAAUUAAAAAAAACAUAAUUCCAAACUGUUUCUCCAAAAAGUCAAUCUUUUUCUUUGUCUUCGCUUAGACUAAAAUAUUCAGCCCUUCUCCAAAAGAACACAUUAUCUGUUGUGAUGGCCAUGAAACUAAGAACAACUGUAAUAAUCAUCAUGGCUUUGGUGUGGCUGCAAGCAGCAGUUGUUGACGGGUGCACUCCAAACGAUGAUAAGUGUGGCGCAUGGGUACCACCAUGUUGCAGUAAUUCGUUGUGCGUGAGAGUUCCUGAUCAGGGUGAUAGAUGCAAAGACAGAGGGGACAUCUGCCAGACAUUGCCUGGAGGUGCCACGACUUGUCUAAGGCGUGUAUGGUAACGCAAAAGGAGAUUAUCAAUCAUGGUAACGAAUUGAUGAGGACUUCAGAGAGUUUCAGGGAUACAAGCUGUCACGACAACGCUUAAAUGCCGAGUGGAUUGUAAUAAAAAUUCUGAAACUAUAAAUAUUGUUCUACUUAUGAUUGAUCAGUAAACUGAAAGUCAAUCUUUC